rnacentral:rRNA from 1 species
AACGAACGCUGGCGGCAGGCUUAACACAUGCAAGUCGAGCGCCCCGCAAGGGGAGCGGCAGACGGGUGAGUAACGCGUGGGAACGUACCCUUUACUACGGAAUAACUCAGGGAAACUUGUGCUAAUACCGUAUGUGCCCUUUGGGGGAAAGAUUUAUCGGUAAAGGAUCGGCCCGCGUUGGAUUAGCUAGUUGGUGGGGUAAAGGCCUACCAAGGCGACGAUCCAUAGCUGGUCUGAGAGGAUGAUCAGCCACAUUGGGACUGAGACACGGCCCAACCUCCUACGGGAGGCAGCAGUGGGGAAUAUUGGACAAUGGGCGCAAGCCUGAUCCAGCCAUGCCGCGUGAGUGAUGAAGGCCUUAGGGUUGUAAAGCUCUUUCACCGGUGAAGAUAAUGACGGUAACCGGAGAAGAAGCCCCGGCUAACUUCGUGCCAGCAGCCGCAGUAA